GCCUCUGUGGCUUAGUCGUAUAGCGCAUCCUUGGUAAGGAUGAGGUCCCGGGUUCAACUCCCGGCAGAGGCU
rnacentral:tRNA from 1 species